ACAAGCGGCGGAGCAUGCGGAUUAAUUCGAUGCAACGCGAAGAACCUUACCAAGGCUUGACAUACACCGGUAACGCCCAGAGAUGGGUGCCCCUUUGUGGUCGGUGUACAGGUGGUGCAUGGUUGUCGUCAGCUCGUGUCGUGAGAUGUUGGGUUAAGUCCCGCAACGAGCGCAACCCUCGUCCUAUGUUGCCAGCGGGUCAUGCCGGGGACUCAUGGGAGACUGCCGGGGUCAAACUCGGGAGGAAGGUGGGGAUGACGUCAAAUCAUCAUGCCCCUUAUGUCUUGGGCUUCACGCAUGCUACAAUGGCCGGUACAAAGGGCUGCGAUACCGCGAGGUGGAGCGAAUCCCAGAAAGCCGGUCUCAGUUCGGAUUGGGGUCUGCAACUCGACCCCAUGAAGUCGGAGUCGCUAGUAAUCGCAGAUCAGCAACGCUGCGGUGAAUACGUUCCCGGGCCUU
rnacentral:rRNA from 1 species